rnacentral:rRNA from 1 species
CAAUAGCGUAUAUUUAAGCUGUUGCAGUUAAAAAGCUCGUAGUUGGAUUUCGGGUGGGACGCAGCGGUCUCGCAUUGCGUUUGUACUGCUGCAGCCCUCCUUCUUGCCGGGGGCGGCCUCUCGGACUUCACUGUCUGGGGGUCAGAAUCGGCGAUGUUACUUUGAGUAAAUUAGAGUGUUCAAAGCAAGCUUACGCUCUGAAUAUAAUAGCAUGGGAUAACACGACAGGACUCUGGCCUAUCGUGUUGGUCUAUAGGACCAGAGUAAUGAUUAAGAGGGACAGUCGGGGGCAUUCGUAUUCCGUUGUCAGAGGUGAAAUUCUUGGAUUUACGGAAGACGAACAUCUGCGAAAGCAUUUGCCAAGGAUGUUUUCAUUGA